GGUCUCCGUAGUUUAGUCGGUAGAACACCCAACUCUGGUGCGGUAGAAUAUGGGUUCGAGUCCCGCUGAAGUCA